UCCUUGUUGCUCCAUUGUUUGGUUGUGUCGGUGUUACAGAAAUUAUAUCACUAGUCAUAUUGUGUUUCCAGUUGUAGGUAAGUUUUUCUUGAAAAUUAAAUAUCAUUUUGACACUCCCUAAUGUGGCACGGUGGAGCAACUGGUUAGAGCAGGGGUGCUCAGACUUUAUUACCUCAAGAGCUUCUUUUCAAGCACCCAGCCUCUCGCGAGCUACCGGGGGUGACGACGGUGAUGACGAUGCUCCCAAACUGUUUCAAGAAUUACAUGAUGGGCCCACACACCUUAUGUUGCCCACAAUGCUUGAGCUGUGCAGGUUGACCCAAUUAAGUGCUCAGUUUUCCCAAAGCAUCAGAAGGAAACACAACUGAGAGACGUAAAGGAG